CCGUGAGACAGGUGCUGCAUGGCUGUCGUCAGCUCGUGUUGUGAAAUGUUGGGUUAAGUCCCGCAACGAGCGCAACCCUUAUCCUUUGUUGCCAGCGGUCCGGCCGGGAACUCAAAGGAGACUGCCAGUGAUAAACUGGAGGAAGGUGGGGAUGACGUCAAGUCAUCAUGGCCCUUACGACCAGGGCUACACACGUGCUACAAUGGCGCAUACAAAGAGAAGCGACCUCGCGAGAGCAAGCGGACCUCAUAAAGUGCGUCGUAGUCCGGAUUGGAGUCUGCAACUCGACUCCAUGAAGUCGGAAUCGCUAGUAAUCGUGGAUCAGAAUGCCACGGUGAAUACGUUCCCGGGCCUUGUACACACCG
rnacentral:rRNA from 1 species